AACGAACGCUGGCGGCAUGCCUAACACAUGCAAGUCGAACGAGAUCUUCGGGUCUAGCGGCGCACGGGUGCGUAACGCGUGGGAAUCUGCCCUUUGGUUCGGAAUAACAGUUGGAAACGACUGCUAAUACCGGAUGAUGACGAAAGUCCAAAGAUUUAUCGCCAGAGGAUGAGCCCGUGUAGGAUUUGCUAGUUGGAGGGGUAAAGGCGCACAAAGGCGACGAUCCUUAGCUGGUCUGAGAGGAUGAUCAGCCACACUGGGACUGGGACACGGGCAAGACUCCUACGGGAGGCGGCGGUGGGGAAUAGUGGACGAUGGGCGAGGGCCUGAUCCAGCUGUGCCGGGUGGGUGAUGAGGGCGUUGGGGUUGUAAAACUCUCUUACCGGGGAUGUGAAUGACAGUACCGGGAGAAUAAGCUCCGGCUAACUCCGUGCCAGCAGCCGCCGUAA
rnacentral:rRNA from 1 species